rnacentral:lncRNA from 1 species
CAAUCUCUAGCAAGGGGUUAAAUUGAAGUUCACAUGAAUACGGAUUUAAUGAGGUCGACUUAUUCACUUGCAAGUGAAUGAGUAAUUAUCAAUGUUUCUUCGCUUAAUUUGACAAAAUUGAACCAUUUUGGAUGCUAAAAGCGAAUUAUUAUUUCACUAUUCAUUUCAUUAUUGAUUGAACAAAAAAAAAUCUUACUUUAGUUUUUUAUAUAUCUCGUAGCUAGUG